CCAUGAAGCCGGAAUUGCUGUAAUGGCAGGUCAGCAUACUGCCGUGAAUACGUUCCCGGGCCCUUGUACACACCGCCCGUCACACCAUGAGAGUUGGGAAUACCCGAAGCCUGUGAGCUAACUUUUAGAGGCAGCAGUCGAAGGUAGAAUCAAUGAUUGGGGUGAAGUCGUAACAAGGUAUC
rnacentral:rRNA from 1 species